CCGUGCUAGGCGGGGAGCGAGCGGUUCCCUGUACCCGCAAUCCGCUACAGCGGGGCUGAAUCCCUGCCCGAGGCCGUGGCUUUCCGGGACCUGACCUCCGUAAGUGGCGAGGAGGGCUGGGUCCUGCGCAAUGGGAAC
rnacentral:SRP_RNA from 1 species